rnacentral:tRNA from 1 species
GAAAUAUGGUUAACAAGAAUAAGCUUCUAACUUAAUUCUUAAGCAGUGAGAUUCUGUUUAUAUUUCU